GAACGCGAAGAACCUUACCUGGGUUUGACAUGCACAGGACGCUGGUAGAGAUAUCAGUUCCCUUGUGGCCUGUGUGCAGGUGGUGCAUGGCUGUCGUCAGCUCGUGUCGUGAGAUGUUGGGUUAAGUCCCGCAACGAGCGCAACCCUUGUCCUAUGUUGCCAGCGGGUUAUGCCGGGGACUCGUAGGAGACUGCCGGGGUCAACUCGGAGGAAGGUGGGGAUGACGUCAAGUCAUCAUGCCCCUUAUGUCCAGGGCUUCACACAUGCUACAAUGGCCGGUACAAAGGGCUGCGAUGCCGUGAGGUGGAGCGAAUCCUUGUAAAGCCGGUCUCAGUUCGGAUCGGGGUCUGCAACUCGACCCCGUGAAGUCGGAGUCGCUAGUAAUCGCAGAUCAGCAACGCUGCGGUGAAUACGUUCCCGGGUCUUGUACACACC
rnacentral:rRNA from 1 species